AACGAACGCUGGCGGCAGGCCUAACACAUGCAAGUCGAGCGAAGCCUUCGGGCUUAGCGGCGGACGGGUGAGUAACGCGUGGGAACGUGCCCUUUGGUACGGAAUAGCCCCGGGAAACUGGGAGUAAUACCGUAUGUGGUCGAGAGACGAAAGAUUUAUCGCCAAAGGAUCGGCCCGCGUUGGAUUAGGUAGUUGGUGGGGUAAUGGCCUACCAAGCCGACGAUCCAUAGCUGGUUUGAGAGGAUGAUCAGCCACACUGGGACUGAGACACGGCCCAGACUCCGACGGGAGGCAGCAGUGGGUAAUCUUAGGCAAUGGGGGAAGCCCUGAUCUAGCCAUGCCGCGUGAUCGAUGAAGGCCUUAGGGUUGUAAAGAUCUUUCAGUGGGGAAGAUAAUGACUGUACCCACAGAAGAAGCCCCGGCUAACUCCGUGCCAGCAGCCGCGGUAACAC
rnacentral:rRNA from 1 species